AUGUGCAAGGCAUGUGACCACUAAUUAUAAGAGAAGACCAAGUCUUCAUAUGUAUCCAUUAAGAGACUUAGAAAAAAAAAGAGAUCAAGAGCAAGUGAAAGUGAGGCUCUCGGGUUUGCCCUUCAAAUUUAGCCCUCAAAAAUCUUGUCCCAAAAAUUCAAAUCUUGUUGAUUUCCUACUAAUUCAAGGCUUCUUUGCAUCUUGGUAUAGUUGGUUUGGAGUGGGGAGCUCUAGAAUCUCCAAGUUGAACACAAGUCCAAGUGAAGAGAGCUUGAAGAAAAGUUUUUCGACGAAACGGGAAGUGACUUUUGGAAGGCGUUAGGAGCGUGAAAGGUACAGACGACAGGUUUGCCGAUCCACACGUCUAGGAUCCUAUUACUGCUAUUUUGGGGCGCUCUCUUCUUCAGAGCCCAUAUUUUGGUACAGUCUGACACCACUAUCUGGAUGUGUACAGUAUUCUGGGUAUGACGGGGCCCUGUCCCGUCU